GGCUCCCGUUCCGGGUCGGUGGUGUGGGGUCCUCCUCCAGUGUCAGGAUAUCUUGUUCUCUCUGGCAGUACGGCGUUCUUCAGUUUGUCAGGUGAAGCGGGAGUGUUGUCUGUUGGUUUGUAGUUUCAACAGGUGGGUUGCAGACUCGAGUUUGUGAGGUAUGUGUUGCCAGAGGCUUGUGAUGUGCUCCUGGUUUACUUUACAAUAGGGUGGUGAUUGUUUUUAAGUAGACAUAAGGUUGUUGAGUUGAUAUAGAUUA
rnacentral:lncRNA from 7 species